UACGUAGGGGGCUAGCGUUGUCCGGAAUCAUUGGGCGUAAAGCGCGUGUAGGCGGUCCGGUAAGUCCGCUGUGAAAGUCGGGGGCUCAACCCUCGGAUGCCGGUGGAGUACUGUCGGGCUAGGAGUGCGGAAGAGGCGGAGUGGAAUUCCUGGGUGUGAGCGGUGAAAUGACGCAGAUAGCAGGAGGAACACCAAUUGCGGAAGGCAGCUCGCUGGGACGUUACUGACGCUGGAGACGCGAAAGCGUGGGGAGCAAACAGG
rnacentral:rRNA from 1 species